AGAUUGAACGCUGGCGGCGUGCCUAACACAUGCAAGUCGAGCGGUAACAGGUGUAGCAAUACAUGCUGACGAGCGGCGAACGGGUGAGUAAUGCUUUGGAAUCUUCCCAGUAGUGGGGAAUAACCAGUCGAAAGAUUGGCUAAUACCGCAUACGUCUGUAAAGGGAAAGCGGGGGCUCGUAAGACCUCGCGCUAUUGGAUGAGCCAAAGUCGGAUUAGCUAGUUGGUGGGGUAAUGGCCUACCAAGGCGACAAUCCGUAGCUGGUCUGAGAGGACGACCAGCCACACCGGAACUGAGACACGGUCCGGACUCCUACGGGAGGCAGCAGUGGGGAAUAUUGGACAAUGGGGGAAACCCUGAUCCAGCGACGCCGCGUGUGUGAAGAAGGCCUGCGGGUUGUAAAGCACUUUUAGUGGGGACAAAAGCUACGGACUAAUAUUCUGUGGUCUUGAUUUAACCCAAGAAAAGCACCGGCUAACUCUGUGCCAGCAGCCGC
rnacentral:rRNA from 1 species